rnacentral:tRNA from 1 species
GUUCUUAUAGUUGAGGAGUCAACGAUGGUUUUUCAGGCCAUAGACCUUGGGUAGGACCCAAGUAAGAAUUU